rnacentral:rRNA from 1 species
CCUGGCUCAGAGUGAACGCUGGCGGCAGGCCUAACACAUGCAAGUCGAGCGGCAGCGCGGGGGCAACCCUGGCGGCGAGCGGCGGACGGGUGAGGAAUGCGUCGGAAUCUGCCUUUUUGUGGGGGAUAACGUAGGGAAACUUACGCUAAUACCGCAUACGACCUACGGGUGAAAGUGGGGGACCGCAAGGCCUCACGCAGAAAGAUGAGCCGACGCCGGAUUAGCUAGUUGGCGGGGUAAAGGCCCACCAAGGCGACGAUCCGUAGCUGGUCUGAGAGGAUGAUCAGCCACACUGGAACUGAGACACGGCCCAGACUCCUACGGGAGGCAGCAGUGGGGAAUAUUGGACAAUGGGCGCAAGCCUGAUCCAGCCAUGCCGCGUGUGUGAAGAAGGCCUUCGGGUUGUAAAGCACUUUUGUCCGGAAAGAAAUCCCAUCGAUUAAUACCCGGUGGGGAUGACGGUACCGGAAGAAUAAGCACCGGCUAACUACGUGCCAGCAGCCGCGGUAAUACGUAGGGUGCGAGCGUUAAUCGGAAUUACUGGGGCGUAAAGCGUGCGCAGGCGGUUUUGUAAGCCAGAUGUGAAAUCCCCGGGCUUAACCUGGGAACUGCAUUUGGGACUGCAAGGCUUGAGUGCGGCAGAGGAGACUGGAAUUCCUGGUGUAGCAGUGAAAUGCGUAGAUAUCAGGAGGAAUACCGAUGGCGAAGGCAGGUCUCUGGGCUGACACUGACGCUCAUGCACGAAAGCGUGGGGGAGCAAACAGGGAUUAGAUACCCCUGGUAGUCCCACGGCCCUAAAACGAUGGUCGACUGGUUUGUUGGGGGGUUUGACACUCUCAGUAACGAAGGCUAACGGCGUGAAGUCGACCGCCUGGGGNAGUACGGGCCCGCNAGGUUUAAAAACUCCAAGGAAAUUGGACGGGGNCUCGCCCACAAGGCCGG